rnacentral:rRNA from 1 species
UACGUAGGGUGCGAGCGUUGUCCGGAAUUAUUGGGCGUAAAGAGCUCGUAGGCGGUCUGUCGCGUCGGUCGUGAAAACUUGGGGCUUAACCCUGAGCUUGCGGUCGAUACGGGCAUGACUGGAGUUCGGUAGGGGAGGACUGGAAUUCCGUGGUGUAGCGGUGAAAUGCGCAGAUAUUGGGAAGAACACCAGUGGCGAAGGCGGUUCUCUGGGACGGUACUGGACGCUGAGACGCGAAAG